AAUGAACGCUGGCGGCAUGCCUAACACAUGCAAGUCGAACGAAGCCUUCGGGCUUAGUGGCGCACGGGUGCGUAACGCGUGGGAAUCUGCCCUUGGGUUCGGAAUAACAGUUAGAAAUGACUGCUAAUACCGAAUGAUGUCGUAAGACCAAAGAUUUAUCGCCCAGGGAUGAGCCCGCGUAGGAUUAGCUAGUUGGUGUGGUAAAGGCGCACCAAGGCGACGAUCCUUAGCUGGUCUGAGAGGAUGAUCAGCCACACUGGGACUGAGACACGGCCCAGACUCCUACGGGAGGCAGCAGUGGGGAAUAUUGGACAAUGGGCGAAAGCCUGAUCCAGCAAUGCCGCGUGAGUGAUGAAGGCCUUAGGGUUGUAAAGCUCUUUUACCCGGGAUGAUAAUGACAGUACCGGGAGAAUAAGCUCCGGCUAACUCCGUGCCAGCAGCCGCGGUAAU
rnacentral:rRNA from 1 species